AAUCUUGCGCAAUGGCCUAACGGCUGACGCAGCGACGCCGCGUGUGGGAUGAAGCUCUUCGGGGUGUAAACCCCUUUUCUGCGGGAAGAAGGUGGGGCAACCCACGUGACGGUACCGCAGGAAGAAGGACCGGCUAACUACGUGCCAGCAGCCGCGGUAAUACGUAGGGUCCGAGCGUUGUCCGGAGUUACUGGGCGUAAAGCGCGCGUAGGCGGCGGUGCUGGCCCGGCGUGAAAGCCCCCGGCUCAACCGGGGAGGGUCGUCGGGGACCGCACCGCUUGAGGGCGGUAGGGGCUGGUGGAAUGCCUGGUGUAGUGGUGAAAUGCGUAGAGAUCAGGCGGAACACCCGUGGCGAAGGCGGCCAGCUGGGCCGUCCCUGACGCUGAGGCGCGAAGGCGUGGGGAGCGAAC
rnacentral:rRNA from 1 species